GACCGUAAGUCAUUAGUGAAACUUGUGGUGGAGUGAGUGGAACGAUGCAGUUUUAGGGAAGGAAUAUUUGAAAGAUUUUUAUUCGUUGCUGAUCAAGCAGUCGCCGGAUAUUAUUAUUAUCUAUCUGAAGAUAUAACUGUCGGCCUAUGUCCAUAUUUAAAUAUGGCCACAGAUGGAACACUGAAUAGUACUGGAGGGCUAGUCUCAAUUUUGAGAGAAUUUUCAAGAAGUGUGGAAAAAUUAACUAAUACAGUGUUAUUUCCCGUUCGUCUUCAAGAUCUAGAUGAUUUGGAACAAACCGAAAAAACCGAAAUUGCCGAAAUAAUUAAGCAUUGUUUCAAUGAGAAAAACCAAGAAGCCAACCUAUACGAACUCUACCUGUUACUGCUGAACACCAGAAGUGAGCUUUUAACCGGAACUGACGUAAAUGGAUUACCGGCAAGUGGUAAUACCACCUUUCACUCGGACUUGAAGAGAAUGGCGCAUAUGUUAAAAAUGCUAACCGGUUUGUCUGAUAGUGUACGACUUUGUUACGAGGAAUCUAUUGCCCCCGCCAGACUUACUUAAUCGAACAUCGACAAUGUGAUAUUUCUAAUAAAUUUCACUAUCUCUAUAACAA